GGUGAAUGCACCUGAAAUUGUGACUUCAGUAGCGUUGCCAGUGAGGAGAAAGGAGAGAUCACUCUCGUCACUUGUGGUCAGCACUCCAAGAGUAUCUUCACAAACUGGAAUAACAGGAAGAAGAACAAAAUCGGUGGCAAGAAAAGCAUUAUGUGGUUCCAACUUUUCAAUUGAGAAAUCUCUCAAGAAUGAAGAAGGUUCUGGAGAAGAUCAGCUGGAUAGCUCUAGCUCACUUGAGACUUUGAACAAGUUCACUCAGAACAUGAGGCUGAAUUCUUCCAGUGCUGAGCCUUCUAGUCACCCUACACCUGAUAAAGAAACUGAAAAUGGCAGUCAACAGUGGGAAGGCAAAGUUGAUUUGUGGAAACCUUUAAAUUGUUUGGUGGAAGCAGCAAACAGGAGCAAAUCUUCGAGGUUUACCUCAGACGGUUCUACCGCUAAGUCAGAAGGUCGGCAUUCCCAUGACCGUGAGGGUCAUGUCCGUAAAACUAAAGUCAAAGAACAUGGACAGAAAUCAAAGAUCAAGGAUGACAAUAAUAGUGAUCCUGCUCCUCCAGAAUUUGACAAACCUAAAAAGUCGCGUAGAAUUCGCCAAAAGAAGGCAUCAUUUUAUGGGGAGUUUGAUAUUUCACCGCAAACUUUUCUGGAUGCAACCACUGCCAGAUGUGAAAAGAGAAUCUAUCCAAUAUGGUUUUCGUUGGUGGCCUCGGAAGACCAGGAGGGAGAUGCA
rnacentral:misc_RNA from 1 species